rnacentral:rRNA from 1 species
UACGUAGGUGGCAAGCGUUGUCCGGAAUUACUGGGUGUAAAGGGAGCGUAGGCGGGAGUGCAAGUCAAGUGUUAAAUCUAUCGGCUCAACCGGUAGCCGCGCUUGAAACUGCAUUUCUUGAGUGAAGUAGAGGCAGACGGAAUUCCUAGUGUAGCGGUGAAAUGCGUAGAUAUUAGGAGGAACACCAGUGGCGAAGGCGGUCUGCUGGGCUUUAACUGACGCUGAGGCUCGAAAGCAUGGGUAGCAAACAGG